AGCAAUGGGGAAAGCGGCCAAUCGGGAGGUGGGGGAACCUUUAUGGCGGGGUCGGCCGGGGCAGGUGGUGGUGGCGGCCGAGGAGGGAGAGCGGCGCGGCAGGAGCCGACGCGGAGCCGGCUGCUAGGUGGAGCCCGCGUCCACGCAACCCAGAUCCGGGCCCUCGCCGCUCCCCCGCCUCUCGGCUCGCCACCCGCCCGGCUCCGUGCGGCCGCCGCCGGGCAGGGCAGCAGCGCUGCCUCCUCCUUCUCGCCGGGCCCUGCGGUGGACGCGGGUGCUGCGGGUCCCGCCGUCCCGGAGCUGCUCCACCUCUACCUCGCGUGUGUGUGCGCGCGGUGCCGAGCCGAGCCGUGUCGGCGGGGCCGCCCGCCCGCGGCCAUGGCCCCCCCCCGCCCCCGCUAGGCACCGCGCGGGGCGCGCCCGCGGAGCCGCCCCCAGCUCCGCGCCCGCGGAGCCGCCCCCCGCCCGCUCGCGCCGGAGCUGGCGGUGUCCGCAGCGGGAGGAGGAGGAAAAAGGAACCGGGGUGCCGGCGGAUCCCGGGGGGCUGAAGACCACCCGCCCUCCCGCCUCUGCGCGGGCGCCUUUGUGUCCCCCAGCCCCGGCGAAGCGAGGGGCCGCGGGCAGGGGAGCGGAUGCGAAGAGCGGCUGGUGCUGGAGAAGGAAGAGGAAAAGGGGGAUGGUGGAAGAUUUCUCUCCCUUGUAUUUUUUUUUUUUUUGGUGGUCUCUUCGGCAGUGACGGUUCUUCCCCAGCAGCAGCGGCAGCAGCACCAGGCGAUGACUCUGCCGCAUAUGACUCGCCUGGCCGAGGGUGCCGGCUCCGGAGACAUCACCUUGGUCUGAAGUUGCCCACCUGGAGGAGGUAAAUCGGAGCGGGGCCUUGGUCCAGAAGGGGUCGGCGACAACGGGGGCGCGAGAGGAGGGAGCGAUCGCCUCCCCCAUCCCCACACACCCUCUGUUCUCUGGGAGGGAGCUUGUGUAGCAGAAGAACACGGCAGCAAAGGAGAGACUUUUUCUUUUUUCCUUCAUUUUUUUAUUAUUAUUAUUUUUUUUUUUAUUUCCUCGAAGGACGUUGCUUGCGUCUCACCCAUCUUCCCCUUUUCCACCUGGCUGGGGGGCUUUGAUACUGCAGCCAGGACUGCUUCCAAUCACACCUCCCCCCCGCCCCCCCCCUCCUUUUUCCUGGUUUUAAUGGCUGGAUUGUGGCAGCAGCUCCCUGCUGCAAGGUUGUUGAGGAACUGAUGGGGACUUGCAUCUCAGGAGACGGAGGUGACUAAAGAAAUGCUGAAUUCAGUACUCUGCAAAAAUCACGUGUGGAUUUUUAGCACUUGAAGAACAAGAAAAGGUCUCAGAUUCUGGAUACUGGCUGUGGGAUUUUUUUUAAUUAUUUUUAUUAUUAUUUUUGAUUGGCUUUCCCCCCCCUCUUUUUGGAUGUGAAUCGAAGGCCAACAGUUAAAGUGUCAGAACCAAGUGCAGGAGGACGCUCGCCUUGUUUUGUUGGAAGCCUUAUUUGCUGGGAUAUUUUCAAGGCUUCCUUCACAGUCAUGUGGUCAUCACAGCUGCUGUUCUUCACAAUGCUCUUAACACCAGUAGCCCAUGCCUGGAUUUCUUUUAAAACAGCUUUCAGCCGUGCCCCGGUGCCCAUGGCUGUGGUCCGACGGGAGCUGUCCUGUGAGAGUUACCCCAUCGAGCUGCGCUGCCCGGGAACAGAUGUCAUCAUGAUCGAAAGUGCCAACUACGGGAGGACCGACGACAAAAUCUGUGACUCUGAUCCUGCUCAGAUGGAGAAUAUCCGCUGUUAUCUGCCAGAUGCCUAUAAGAUUAUGACUCAAAGAUGCAGUAAUCGGACCCAGUGUGCAGUUGUUGCUGGCCCCGAUGUGUUUCCAGACCCUUGCCCUGGGACGUACAAGUACCUGGAAGUGCAGUACGAAUGUGUCCCUUACAAAGUGGAACAAAAAGUUUUUCUUUGCCCUGGAUUGCUGAAAGGAGUAUACCAGAGCGAACAUUUAUUCGAAUCAGACCACCAGUCGGGUGCCUGGUGCAAGGACCCUCUGCAGGCGUCUGACAAGAUCUACUACAUGCCCUGGACACCGUACCGGACAGACACGUUGACAGAAUACUCCUCCAAGGAUGACUUCAUCGCCGGGAGGCCAACUACCACCUACAAACUCCCACAUCGGGUGGACGGCACAGGCUUUGUGGUGUACGAUGGGGCAUUGUUCUUCAACAAGGAGCGCACUAGGAACAUAGUCAAGUUUGACUUGCGGACCAGGAUAAAGAGCGGGGAGGCCAUCAUCGCGAAUGCAAACUACCACGACACUUCUCCAUACCGCUGGGGAGGCAAAUCUGAUAUUGACCUGGCUGUGGAUGAGAAUGGGCUGUGGGUAAUCUAUGCAACAGAACAAAAUAAUGGCAAAAUAGUCAUUAGCCAAUUAAACCCUUACACAUUAAGGAUUGAAGGGACAUGGGAUACCGCCUAUGACAAGAGGUCGGCUUCGAACGCCUUCAUGAUCUGUGGGAUUUUAUAUGUGGUGAAGUCUGUGUAUGAAGAUGAUGACAACGAAGCCACAGGGAAUAAAAUAGACUAUAUCUAUAAUACUGACCAAAGCAAAGAUAGCAUGGUGGAUGUGCCCUUUCCAAACUCCUACCAGUACAUUGCUGCUGUGGAUUAUAAUCCUCGGGACAACCUCCUGUACGUAUGGAACAACUAUCACGUUGUGAAGUAUUCCUUGGACUUUGGACCACUGGACAGCAGAGCAGGGCAGGCUCACCACGGACAGGUUUCCUACAUGGCCCCACCGAUCCACCUCGAUUCAGACCUGGAGAGACCACCAUCCAAGGGAGUAUUGACAUCGGGGGCAUUGGCCCCGGGGAGCACCCCCAGCAGUGCCAUGCCACGGGUGACCACCAGCAGCACUGGCCAUCCCACCACCACCUCAGCUUUGGGCAGGAGGAACAGGAGCACCAGCACACCAUCCCCCAUGGCUGACAUCCCUGAGGAAGUGACCACGCACCUCCUGCCCGCCUCGUCCCAGCUGCCGCCGGCCGGUGCGGAGAGCUGCAACUCUGUGGAAGCUCGGGAGAUUCUGUGGUCUCGGACCCGGCAGGGCCAAGUGGCGAAGCAGCCAUGUCCCAUGGGCUCCAUAGGUGUGGCAACUUUCCGGUGUCUUGUGCCAGAUGGGAUCUGGGAGCCCCAAGGACCUGAUCUCAGCAAUUGCUCUUCUCCCUGGAUCAACCACAUCACUCAGAAGAUGAGGUCAGGGGAGAUGGCUGCCAACAUUGCCCGGGAGCUUGCAGAGCACACGAAAAACCACAUGUACGCUGGAGAUAUCACAUAUUCGGUGUCUGCCAUGGUCCAGCUGGUCAACUUACUCGAUGUGCAGCUCCGAAACCUAACGCCAGGUGGGAAGGACAGCGCUGCCCGCAGCUUAAAUAAGCUUCAGAAAAGGGAGCGCUCUUGCAGGGCCUAUGUCCAGGCCAUGGUGGAGACGGUGAACAACCUCCUGCAGCCGCAGGCUCUGAAUGCCUGGCGGGACCUGAACGCAAGCGAACAGCAACGUGCAGCCACCAAAUUACUGGACACAGUGGAGGACAGUGCCUUCGUGCUGGCUGAUAACCUGCUGAAGACUGACAUUGUCCGGGAAAAUACUGACAACAUCCAGCUGGAAGUUGCGAGACUGAGCACAGAUGGGAACCUGGAGGAUCUGAAGUUUCCCCAGAAUAUGGGCCACGGGAGCUCCAUUCAGCUAUCUGCAAACACCUUGAAACAAAAUGGUCGAAAUGGUGAAAUCAGGGUGGCAUUCGUGUUGUACAACAACCUGGGCACCUAUCUCUCCACCGAGAAUGCCAGCAUGAAGUUGGGAACAGAAGCAAUGUCAACUAAUCACUCUGUCAUUGUCAACUCUCCGGUCAUCACGGCAGCAAUAAACAAAGAAUUCAGCAAUAAGGUUUACCUGGCUGAUCCUGUGGUCUUUACAGUCAAGCACAUCAAGCAGUCAGAAGAAAAUUUCAAUCCCAACUGUUCAUUCUGGAGCUAUACAAAGCGUACAAUGACGGGGUAUUGGUCCACCCAGGGCUGCCGCCUCCUGACAACAAACAAGACGCACACCACAUGCUCCUGCAAUCACCUCACCAACUUUGCUGUCCUGAUGGCACACGUGGAAGUUAAGCACAGUGAUGCAGUCCAUGACCUGCUCCUGGACUUUAUCACAUGGGUUGGCAUCCUGCUCUCCCUGGUCUGCCUCCUGAUCUGCAUCUUCACCUUCUGCUUCUUCCGGGGGCUGCAGAGCGACCGCAACACCAUCCACAAGAACUUGUGCAUCAGCCUCUUCGUAGCUGAACUCCUCUUCCUCAUCGGCAUCAACAGAACCGACCAGCCGAUUGCCUGUGCUGUCUUUGCUGCCCUCCUGCACUUCUUCUUCCUGGCGGCUUUCACCUGGAUGUUCCUGGAGGGCGUGCAGCUCUACAUCAUGCUGGUGGAAGUUUUCGAGAGUGAACACUCCCGGAGGAAAUAUUUCUAUUUGGUUGGCUACGGCAUGCCGGCGCUGAUCGUGGCCGUGUCGGCGGCGGUGGAUUACCGGAGCUACGGCACAGAAAAAGUAUGUUGGCUCCGACUUGACACCUACUUCAUUUGGAGCUUUAUAGGACCCGCGACCUUGAUAAUUAUGCUGAAUGUCAUCUUUCUGGGGAUCGCACUCUAUAAAAUGUUCCAUCAUACUGCCAUACUGAAACCCGAAUCUGGAUGUCUUGACAAUAUCAACUAUGAGGAUAACAGACCCUUCAUCAAGUCCUGGGUUAUAGGUGCAAUAGCCCUACUCUGCCUAUUAGGACUGACCUGGGCAUUCGGACUCAUGUAUAUUAAUGAAAGCACAGUCAUCAUGGCCUAUCUCUUCACCAUAUUUAAUUCUCUGCAGGGAAUGUUUAUAUUCAUUUUCCAUUGUGUCCUCCAGAAAAAGGUACGUAAAGAGUACGGAAAAUGCCUGCGCACGCAUUGCUGUAGUGGGAAAAGUACAGAGAGCUCUAUUGGCUCAGGAAAAACCUCGGGGUCACGGACUCCUGGAAGAUAUUCCACAGGCUCACAGAGCCGGAUUCGUAGGAUGUGGAAUGACACAGUUCGAAAGCAGUCCGAGUCUUCCUUUAUUACCGGAGAUAUAAACAGUUCAGCUUCACUCAACAGAGGAGGCAGCUUUAUUUCCUUAUUUCCAAAUACAGCAGCUCAUGUUGCUUGCCAUCAGCAUAGCCAAAGAUAUCAGGAGCCAUGGCUAAUCAUCUUAUAACCAAUGCUCUGCUUCGUCCUCAUGGCACUAACAACCCUUAUAAUACAUUGCUCGGGGAAUCAGCGGUCUAUAACAACCCUUCCGUCAGCAUGUACAACGCACAAGAAAGCAGCAGGACGCCCAAGCAGGAGCCGGUCUUCAGGAGAGUCACCAUGGAAGACAGUGUCAUCUAGUGCUGGCAAGCCGGCCACAGGGUGAGCCCACCUCAGCUCCACUGUGUCUCAGUCUACCCAUUCCUCCCCAGCAUCGUGCAAUGGGAGAGGCCGGAGAAACUCAGCCUCAGCCGAAAUCAUCAGCAAACCCAAGGAAAAAACAGCCUUACUGAUCUUCCCACUGCCUGGCAGCGCCUGGGGAAGUGCGCUCGCCGCCUGGUCAGUCGCUUUUUUGUUUGCCAAGACAAGCAGAACGGGUGGAAAAAACAGUCUUUUUUAACGACAAAGAAGUAUUGUCUGCUCCAAAUGUUGGCUUUGCAACUUGAAAAUACUUUAAAGACGGCUGAGUGUGCUCAACCCCACCUUUCCGUGCUCGCAAGCUGGGCUGUGUAAAGGCAAAACCACUGCGUCCAGGUCCAUAUUGUAAAUACAGACGUGGCUGUGCAGAGAGAUGUCAAGGGAAUGAAAACACGGAGAAAUAAACCAUCCUUAUGCCAGAAGCAGCUGAACUUGCCAUCAGAGUACUGUCGAGCAAAGCUUCUGAGCAGAGACCAGCAGCAGCUCCGCUCGGCAAAAGCAUCCAGGGGAAAGCUGCCCAGAUUUUAUUGUGUAAAUAGAGAUAUUUUUUGGAGAAAAAAAAAAGAGCCUUAUUAACUUGAAGAUAGCGUUUCUCAAUCAGCUCAGCUGGGGAUAUGGGAAACCAUGAUGUCUGCCCACCGGAGGCUGGCGUGGGGUCUCGUAGCCGAAAGAUGACGGACACAUCUGGCAGAGAAUUCAGCAGAUGUUGUCUCCUUCGUUCCUGUAAAUGGGGUGGACUCACUCGGCCCAUGGUCUCCACUGGUGUAAAUAACUCAGCUACAAACUUGGGCUGUUCAGUGUAGGGGGCGGCGGGGGGGAUGGAAUGGCCAGAAAUCACCAAUGCGGGACACAAACCCCAUGUAAGUGCAGUUCCCCUGAGGCUUUUAACAUUCAUUAAAAGAAAAAAAAAUAAACUCUGAAGACUUCUUAGUGGUGUUGGGCCAACUGUUUGAUGAAGGGUUUCAGUGUGCAAACACAUGGAAGACCAUGUCCAUGUAGCUGUGUCCAUGAGAGGUGAAGAGAGGAUAUACAUCUGUGUUGUGCUCACCUGUAUACACCUAAUCACUGGAGGGAAAUUUGGGAAAAAAAAAAAAGGAAUUAUGAAAAAAGUCUUGGGAAGAAAAAGCUAUUUCUGAAAAUGACCCAGAAUAGCUUUCUCUAGACAUAGAAGUCUCCUUUCAGCCUGGCAUUUUAGAAUCAUUUUGGUUGGAAGAGACUCUCAGGAUCAUCGAGUCCAACCAUAACCUAAAUGUGGCACUAAACCAUGUCCCUAAGAGCCUUAUCUAUCCAUCUUUUAAACACCCCCAAGGAUGGUGACUCCACUACUGCCCUGGGCUGCCUGUUCCAAUGCUUUACAACCUUUUCCAUGAAGAAAUUUUUCCUUAUAUCCAAUCUUUUGCAAGGAAGAAGGGCCACGGUGGAAGUGUGCCCUCCCCAUUAAAAAGCCACAUAGCAUAAACCAAUUAUUGCACAAAUUUAGCAUAAUUCUGGGAGCAAAGCCUCAAAACCUUUGCAAAGAAAUGCCAGUGGCUGCAAAAGCUGCAAUUGCAGGAAAGCAGAAAUCCCCUGUUUUUUCACUAGGUAACAGGAAAGCAGAAAUCUCCUGGGUUGGGGUCAUUUGGGUUUUUUUCAUUAGAGCCCUCAAUAUUAGUUUCAUUCUCCAGAUAACCCCAUCAUCCCACACUCUAAACCUUUGCCGUUAUGUCUAGAAGAGUUAUUCUUGGAGGCAUUUAUGACAACCUUCACUCUCUAUCUCCCUCUCUCUCUCUCUCUCUGCAAACCUGAAGAUGCUGAUACCUGGUAACUAAUGAUGAAGCAGACUGACCCCAAAUCCUAAUAAAAAUGAUGAAUCCCGCUGUACUGAUAGCACACAGCUCACCAAGCUGAGCCAGCAAGGAGGGUGAGGCAGAUACUCACCGAACCCCCCAGGACAUUUAAUUUUGAUUUAAUCUGGCCCCAAGUCACUAGUGAUUGACGUUUCACCUCCUUUCCAUAUCUUAACUGGACUUCCUUACAUGCAAUGAAACUGAAUACCUUGUAAUUACUGUACUCCUGGUGAUUAAGCGGUAUGAAAAGCUAUCAUGGAGAGCAUUAAUAAAAUGUACAUGAUGAAAAAAAAAGAACCCAUCAUCAUCUGAAAUUAAUAACACACCAGAUUUUUCCUCAUCCGCACCUGCCCAUUGCAGGCCUGCCCUUUUCUAUUGAAAAUGACUUACUCAAGCAACUUUUAUAACUGUAUUGGGCAUGAAGUUCUGUCCUGUAGGUUUGCAUCCCUGUUAGAUGUACCGCACGAGGACUUGUUUCUCUGUUAAGUCUUUCAGGCAUUGAUUUUAGUGACAUUUCUGUCACGCCGGUGUGACUAAAAUGAACUGAUGGUUUCAUGCUUAUGGAUUAGUUUGCCUAAGACUUUGAGGCCAGGUAGCUUUAUCAUGCACUGUAACGCCAGAAUUCAUCACUGUAUUAUUUACAAGAGACUGAACUGGCUGCAUCUCAAUAACUGAAGAGAUCUUCACUGUUUUAUUUAUGUAUAAAUGUUUACUUAAUCAGCCACCAAUUUUGUUUAGCGGAAUUUGUUAGCAAAUGGAAAUUGUAAACACUAACAUGAGUUCUAUUUUAAAAUUUAUAGGCUUUCAUCUAUAGCAAAAUCCAAAAUUUCCAAAGUGUCUUCAUCUCCUGGCAAUCAAGAAGCUCUCUUGUAUGUGCUUUCUGGUAAUUGCAAUUAUUUGCUGCAAUACUUCACAUUAAAAAAAAAAAUACAACCCUAA